rnacentral:rRNA from 1 species
AUGGCCAACGGAAAGAAUGUCGUGGCCAUGUUAUUUCUCACCACCAUUGUGGCGGUGGCGGCCACAAGGCCAGCCGACACCUAUGGCGCUGCGGAGGAGAACACAUUGAAGAUGGCUACCCCCAGCAGGAAAGGGGUUGACGCUACAUUAGCAGCUACACGUGUUGUUGCCGCCGAGAAGUCCAUCAAGAAGGCUGAAAGCGCCACCACAUCAGAAGAGGCCGCGGCUGCCAAGCAAGAUGGAGCAAAAUCUGCUUCUGCUGCAUUAAAGUACAAUGCCAUCUCUCAGCAGGCAACUGGUAAAGGUUCUUCUAUCUCCCCAGGCAGGAAAGAAGCAGCCGGUACUUUAGCCGCCACACAAUAUGCUACCACCGAGAAGUCCAUCAAGAAGGCCGAAACCGCCACGACACCUGAAAAGGCCGUGGCUGCCAAGCGAGACGCAGCAAAGUCUGCUGACGAUGCAUUAAAGUAUGGUGCCAUCUCUCGGAAAGCAGCUGGUACAAGUUCUUCUACCUCCCCCAAUAGGAAAGAAGCCACCACUGACUUAGCAGCUAUGCACACUGCUGCUGGUAAGAUGAUCACCAAGAAGGCUGAAACCGCUACCACACCUGAAGAGGCCGUGGCUGCCAAGCGAGCUGCAGCCAAGUCUACUGCUGCUGCAUCAAAGUAUGGUGUCAUUUCUCAGCAAGCAGCUGGUACAAGUUCUUCUACCUCCCCCAACAGGAAAGAAGCUGUCGGUACCUUGGCAGAUGCGCGCAUAGCUGCUGCCGAGAAGUCCAUCAAGAAGGCUGAAACCGCCACCAGACCUGAAGAGGCAGCACCCGCUAAGAAGGAUGCCGCGAAAUCUGAGGCUGAUGCAAUGAAGUACGGGGCCAUCUCUCAGCAGGCCGCCAACAAAAAUGGUGCCUAA